GAUGAACGCUGACAGAAUGCUUAACACAUGCAAGUCUUUGGCGAAGCUGUGCUUGCACAGCCUAGCCAAGGCGGACGGGUGAGUAACGCGUAAGGAACUUGCCCUGCAGUCAGGGAUAACAGACGGAAACGACUGAUAAGACCUGGUAAAGUCAGGCGGACUCAUGUCCAGCCUGAUGAAAAGAGAUGCUGCAGGAGAGCCUUGCGUCCUAUUAGCUUGUUGGUGGGGUAACGGCCCACCAAGGCGAGGAUAGGUAGCCGGCCUGAGAGGGUGGACGGCCACAAGGGGAACGAGAUACGGCCGUUACUACUACGGGAGGAAGCAGGGGGGAAUAUUGGACCAUGGGGGCAACCCUGAUCCAGCAAUUCUGUGUGCACGAUGAAGGUUUUCGGAUUGUAAAGUGCUUUCAGCAGGGAAGAAAAAAAUGACGGUACCUGCAGAAGAAGCGACGGCUAAAUACGUG
rnacentral:rRNA from 1 species